rnacentral:tRNA from 1 species
CGUUAAAAAGCUGAAAGUCAGCAUUGGUCUCUUAAACCAUUAAAUGGUAGAAUAACGUCUACUUUUAACGA